UAGAGCGCCUGCUUUGCACGCAGGAGGUCAGGAGUUCGACUCUCCUAGUCUCCACCA
rnacentral:tRNA from 1 species